CGGUUGAUCCCGCCGGAGGCUACCGCUAUUGGAGUCCGAUUAAGACAUGCGAGUCGAGAGCUUUCGGAGCUCGGCAUACUGCUCAGUAACACGUGGGUAACCUGCCCUGUGCUGGGGGAUAACCUCGGGAAACUGAGAACAAUACCCCAUAGUCCACUACGCCUGGAACGGUGAGUGGAUGAAAGCCCCGGCGGCACAGGAUGGGCCUGCGGCGUAUCAGGUAGUAGGGGGUGUAAAGUACCCUCUAGCCUUCGACGCGUACGGGUUGUGAGAGCAAUAGCCCGGAGAUGGAUUCUGAGACACGAAUCCAGGUCCUACGGGACGCAGCAGUCGCGAAACCUUGACAAUGCGGGAAACCGUGAUCAGGGGACUCCAAGUGCCAGGAGUAAGAUCCUGUGCUUUUCUUCUCUCUUCAAAGGAUUAGGAAUAAGAGGUGGGUAAGGACGGUGCCAGCCGCCGCGGUAAUACCGGCGCCUCGAGUGGUAGUCGAUUUUAUUGGGCCUAAAACGUCCGUCGCCGGUCUGGUGCAUUCGUGGGUAAAUCAACCCGCUCAACGGGUUGAAUUCUGCGAGCACGGCCAG
rnacentral:rRNA from 1 species